rnacentral:lncRNA from 1 species
CAGCUUCUCCGGCGCGAGCAGAUUUUCGCACCAAUAUGUUUGAUGCUUACCAUCUUCUGUGGUAUAUCUUCCACAUAAGUGAAUGGAUUGGAAAAGGAAGUAAGAUGGAAGGGUGGUACAGAUUGGGGGAGGAUGAUCAUACACAUCUAAGAUUUCCAAUAAGCUAGAAAUCACCUCACCCCCUGCUCAUAUUCCCACUUCACUCUUUCUCCACUGCUUAAUUAUUAGGAUUUUUUUUAAAUAAUAUAUUUUUAAUAACAUAUUCCGAAAAUAUCGUGGUUCAAAAAUUAUUUACGAAACUAUCGU